GGAUUGAGAGAAAGACUAAAUCAGGUCUCAAGUCUUCAGUGAAUGAGAAUGAUUUGGAACAAGUUCUACGUCAAAUUGGCGAUAAGGACCAAAAGAUCCAGAACCUUGAAGCUUUAUUACAGAAGAGUAAAGAAAAUAUUUCAUUACUAGAAAAAGAAAGAGAAGAUCUUUAUGCAAAAAUUCAGGCUGGUGAAGGAGAGACUGCUGUUCUUAACCAGUUACAAGAAAAAAACCAUACACUACAGGAGCAAGUAACUCAACUAACAGAGAAGCUGAAGAAUCAGUCAGAAAGUCAUAAACAAGCCCAGGAGAAUUUGCAUGACCAGGUACAAGAGCAGAAGGCACAUCUUAGAGCUGCACAAGACCGUGUCCUUUCCCUAGAAACUAGUGUCAAUGAAUUAAAUAGUCAAUUAAAUGAAAGCAAGGAGAAGGUCUCCCAGCUUGACAUACAGAUUAAAGCCAAAACCGAACUAUUACUAUCAGCAGAAGCAGCAAAAACUGCUCAAAGAGCUGAUCUUCAGAAUCAUUUGGACACAGCUCAA
rnacentral:lncRNA from 1 species